rnacentral:rRNA from 1 species
GAGAAAGGACGGUACCCCAGGAAUAAGGCCCGGCUAACUACGUGCCAGCAGCCGCGGUAAAACGUAGGGGUCAAGCGUUAUCCGGAUUUACUGGGCGUAAAGCGCAUGUAGGCGGUUGCUUAAGUCGGACGUGAAAGCUCCUGGCUCAACUAGGAGAGGCCGUUCGAAACUAAGUAACUCGAGGAUGGUAGAGGAGAGUGGAAUUCCCGGUGUAGUGGUGAAAUGCGUAGAUAUCGGGAGGAACACCAGUGGCGAAGGCGGCUCUCUGGGCCAUUCCUGACGCUGAGAUGCGAAAGCUAGGGGAGAGAACGGGAUUAGAAACCCCGGUAUUCCUAGCCGUAAACGAUGUCAACUAGGUGUAGGAGGUAUUGACCCCUUCUGUGCUGCAGCAAACGCGUUAAGUUGACCGCCUGGGGACUACGGCCGCAAGGCUAAAACUCAAAGGAAUUGACGGGGACCCGCACAAGCAGCGGAGCGUGUGGUUUAAUUCGAGGCUACGCGAAGAACCUUACCAGGGUUUGACAUGGCGGUAGUAGGGAUCCGAAAGGUGACCGACCCUUCGGGGAGCCGUCACAGGUGCUGCAUGGCUGUCGUCAGCUCGUGCCGUGAGGUGUUAGGUUAAGUCCUGUAACGAGCGCAACCCACGUCGUUAGUUAUACGUGUCUAACGAGACUGCCGGUGAUAAGCCGGAGGAAGGUGUGGAUGACGUCAAGUCAGCAUGGCCUUUAUAUCCUGGGCUACACACACGCUACAAUGGCCGGUACAAUGGGCAGCGAAACCGCGAGGUGGAGCCAAUCCUCCAAAGCCGGUCUCAGUUCGGAUUGUAGGCUGCAACUCGCCUGCAUGAAGUCGGAGUUGCUAGUAAACGCGCGUCAGCAACAGUGCGUUGAAUACGUUCCCGGGUCUUGUACACACCGCCCGUCACGUCAUGGAAGUUGGCAACGCCUGAAGUCGGUGGGCUAACCCUAACGGGAGGCAGCCGCCCAAGGCGGGGUCGGUAACUGGGACG